rnacentral:ribozyme from 13 species
CUGACACAAUACACACUCAAACCAAAGAGGACGUUCCAAAGAAGAAGAAGGCAACAAACUCCUUACAAGUUCUUCAGAAGGUGGUUCAUAAACAUGUCCUUCAUGUCCUUCUUCUUCUUCUAUUCUUCUUUUCUUUUUCUCUCUCUCUUCUCUCUCUUGUUUCUCCUUUUCG